rnacentral:lncRNA from 12 species
GGCUCUUAUGAGACUUAAGCAUCACACUAAUCACAAUGUGUGUCUCAACUCCAUCAAUUUGGGGGUGAAUCUGGAGGUUUCGUCCACACCAGGAAUAAUGCUAAGGAAGUUUUGCAUCCUGUCAGAUAAGUGAAGCCAUCUACCCCUUACCCUCCAUUCACAUCUCAGGCAGUUCGUUUACCUGCAGAAGCUGGACUCUCCUGCUCUGCUCUACAGCAUCUGGCGAUUGACAUGAUCCCGUAAGUCAAUUUUGCAGCUGAGUGGACUGAGGUCCCAGAAAGCCAAAGGCCUGAAGUGGAAAAUAUCGAGCAGGUGACUUAUUAAGGCUUGAGUGUAGGACUUGAGCCCCGAGGAGCGGCCUGUGCAUUGCUGAUCUUAU